rnacentral:lncRNA from 1 species
GCGAGGCCGACAGUGUCAAACGGCAUGCUAUGAAAAUCAAUUUCAAAGAAAUUAGCAACAACAAUCCAAACAACAUGUUAUGAAAAUCAAUGGAACACAAAAUAGUUUAGCUCUAAUUAUGAUGUGUUUACUGUAGGUAUGGUUGGUUUGAGCCUAAUUUGAAGCAACAAAAUAGUGAAUCAUCUUUGGACGCAAGAAGCAAGCACCAUUCAUAUGUUGAAGAAAUAUCUACUAAAAAACAUCGCCUUCACGUCAGUUCGUAAAUGAAAUUAAUUUAACGGCUUGAUCAAGCCCAUCUGCACCUAUGACAUGUGCACCUGAAUCCAAAGAAAUAAAUAAAUUAGAGUUUAGCUUGAACCCAUUUUGAUAGCUAAUUCCACUUUGGACGCUCAACAGCUAGAAGAACUCAAUGGAGGCAUAGGGUAUGAACAAAAAACUAACCUGGACAUUAAAAAAACUUAAUCUGCUGGUCAAGCUUGGACGCGAACUUCUGGGUCUUGAGAAGCUUGGCAUGCUUGUUGAAUUAUGAACCGGUGUGAUCCAGAAACUUACCUAGAAGUAGUAUUUACAUCCAGCGCAGAGCGUGUUUGAUGGAUUCUUCUUGUGUGCCAUUAAUCCUAAUCCUGCAUUAGAGGUACACAUGACAAGCUUUGAAUUUUCCAUGAAAACAAUCUGGGUUUUGGUGCUGGGUGUUAAUUAUAGUGGACUGAACGUCUGCACUCACCAAGCCCCACCGUGGCUGCUAGCAGUUCCACGUCGGUGAACCUCGCCAUCUCCAGGGAGAGUCAAAUAAAUAGGAAACGUGCUGGAGAUGGGAGGAGGGCAAUACCUGCAGAGUUUGAAGCGCCGUCACCAUUGCUUGUUGGAUCUCCGCGCCCCAUCAGCGAUCCAAAGUUUCAGCCGCCACCGCCUCCUCUUGGUUCGUCGUUGGGGGGCUCGGUUGGUGGUGAAGAUGAGGGAGGGGAGGAGCUGGGUUACCGCCGGGCGGCCGUCGGAGGGAGUGCAAUGGAGGUUGCCCAUGCACCCCGGCGUUCUCUGUGUGCAGGCGCUCCAUUGAAGAUGCGUUGGGCGCGGCGGAGUCGGGGUUGGAGGUGCAGGAUGGGAGGAGCGCCGCCGGAGGUCGGCGUGGCCGGGGGCAUAGGAGCACGAGCUGAGAUCGGCGCAGGACGUGGCGAUGGAGAUCGGGGGUGCGAGGUGGGCGAGGAAGGAGAGCCAUUAGCGGAAGGGAUAAGGGGAGAACGGUUCCUGC